CAAGAAAGCAAUGCAAGAACUGCUAACUCAUGCCCCCGCGCUUACACCCGCGGCUUUCUUGAC
rnacentral:tRNA from 1 species